rnacentral:tRNA from 1 species
GCCCUGAUGGUGGAAUUGGUAGACACGCAGGACUUAAAAUCCUGUGGACAGAAAUGUCUGUGUGGGUUCAAGUCCCACUCGGGGUA